AUUGAACGCUGGCGGCAGGCCUAACACAUGCAAGUCGAGCGGAGCGGCGGACGGGGGAGUAAUGCCUAGGAAUCUGCAUGGUAGUGGGGGAUAACGUCCAGAAACGGGCGCUAAUACCGCAUACUAUCAGAUGAGCCUAGGUCCGAUUAGCUAGUUGGUGGGGUAAAGGCCUACCAAGGCGACGAUCCGUAACUGGACUGAGAGGAUGAUCAGUCACGCUGCAACGGAGACACGGUCCAGGAUCCUACGGGGGGCAGCAGUGGGGGAUAUUGCACAAUGGGCGAAAGCCUGAGGCGGCGACGCCGCGUGGGGGAUGAAGGCUUUCGGGUUGUAAACCUCGUUCGCUAUCGAACGGGUAGGUGGAGAAGAAGCGCCGGCUAACUACGUGCCAGCAGCCGCGGUAAUAC
rnacentral:rRNA from 1 species